CCUACGGGAGACAGCAGUGGGGAAUAUUGGGCAAUGGGCGCAAGCCUGACCCAGCAACGCCGCGUGAAGUAAGAAGGCUCUCGGGUUGUAAACUUCUUUUUAGAGGGAAGAGCAGAAGACGGUACCUCUUGAAUAAGCCACGGCUAACUACGUGCCAGCAGCCGCGGUCAUACGUAGGUGGCAAGCGUUGUCCGGAUUUACUGGGUGUAAAGGGCGUGCAGCGGGGAAGACAAGUCAGAUGGGAAAUCCCGCGGCUCAACCGCGGAACUGCAGUUGAAACUGUUUUUCUUGAGUACCCGAGAGGUCAGCGGAAUGCGUGGUGUAGCGGUGAAAUGCGUAGAUAUAACGAAGAACACCAGUGGCGAAGGCGGAUGACUGGACGGCAACUGACGGUGAGGCGCGAAAGCGUGGGGAGCAAACAGGAUUAGAUACCCUAGUAGUC
rnacentral:rRNA from 1 species